rnacentral:rRNA from 1 species
AUUGAACGCUGGCGGCAUGCCUUACACAUGCAAGUCGAACGGCAGCACGGGAGCAAUCCUGGUGGCGAGUGGCGAACGGGUGAGUAAUAUAUCGGAACGUGCCCAGUCGUGGGGGAUAACGUAGCGAAAGCUACGCUAAUACCGCAUACGAUCUAUGGAUGAAAGCGGGGGAUCGCAAGACCUCGCGCGAUUGGAGCGGCCGAUAUCAGAUUAGGUAGUUGGUGAGGUAAAGGCUCACCAAGCCGACGAUCUGUAGCUGGUCUGAGAGGACGACCAGCCACACUGGGACUGAGACACGGCCCAGACUCCUACGGGAGGCAGCAGU